rnacentral:lncRNA from 1 species
AGCAGUCAAGCUCAGCAAUGAUCUUAGCCCUACCUUACGACACCAUGGUGCCUCUCCUUGUACUCUGCCUUCUUUCGCCACUCUUAGUUGCCUCUGCGGAUACAUCUGUCUUGAAGUGUGUACAAGGAGCAGAAGUUUCUAACGCUUCGGACUGUGUCAGCGGUUUGGAUGCCUGUGUGCUCAUCAGGGACCAGAGCACAAUGCUUGGCACCGAGUUUGACACAACAACCUAUUCAUGUGGAAAAAGUGAUUCUUGUGCCAAUGCUUACAACAUCACCAUAGGAAAAGACAAACAUUUGCGCUCCAGCUCUGCUUGCUGUACUGAAGAUGGGUGCAACGCAAAGUUAAAUUGGACCUCUCUUCAAGCUCCUUGGACUGAGAAUGGGCUCACUUGCCCAAAAGGAUGUUAUGCUCAGACAGAGAAGGAGUGCACGGAUGGACCCGUCUUAUGCACAGAUGGUCAAAGGAAUUGCAUCACUGUAGAAGGAAGCUCUGGUGCCAAGACGUUCGUCCUGCAUGGUUGUGGAACAAGCAAUAUGUGCGGUGUAGAGAACUAUGCACUGACCAUUGGAGGAACCCCCUACAAAAUCAAAACAAUAACAUGUGUCCCUGCUGCAGAAAAAGCAGAUCCUCCAAAACCUUAAAGAGCCAGAAAUUCUGCAUCAGCCACAACUUGGAAACCAGCCACAACUCCUAAAGCAACAAUACCUAGUGCCAACCAUACCUUGGGGAAGAACUCCUUCCUUCUCUUGCUACCCAUGAUCUCCAGCUUUCCCUUUAUGAAGUUUCUCUCCUGAGCUCUCUUUCAAUGCCAGCCACUUUGAAGGUUUCAUGCCAUGAGCAUUUCGGCACUGGAAUGGACAAAUCUGUCAAAUUUCAGUGCUUUUAACUUUCUCAUUUAAAAAAUAAAAUGAAAAUGAAAAUCUGCCCACAUUUAGCAUGAAUUUGCCCUAAUAAACACAACUUUUGCAUGCGGUUGGAACAAUAUACAUAGUAUGUUAUUAUCCCUAAUAUAUACACUUUACUCGCAUAAAUGCAUUUUCGCAUACGCUGUUUGGUUGAAGAACUAAACUGCAAAAUUCUGAGAAAUGUGAAAUUUGAAGGCUAGGUGGGUUUUAGUUUGCAUAUUGGUCAGGAAAAUGCAAAUGAGUUAGUUUCUCAUUAACAUGCAUACAAAAUUGAAUUUCUUCCUCAUCCUGAUUUGAGUACCACAAUACCUCCCGCACCUCCUCCAAAGUGUUUUUGAAGCUCCAGGCUGUUUUCUGAAUGAAAGAUUGCAGGCCCAAUAAAGAAUAUUCAGUCCAAAAAUGGUUUUGUUUGUUUCUUCUGGAUGGCUG